UCUCUGGUGGCUUAGUGGUUACAGCAUCUGCCUCCUAUGCGGUAGGUCGCGGGUUCAAACCCCGGCCGAGUCUUUAA